UACGUAGGGUGCAAGCGUUGUCCGGAAUUAUUGGGCGUAAAGAGCUCGUAGGCGGUCUGUCGCGUCGGCUGUGAAAACCCGGAGCUCAACUCCGGGCCUGCAGUCGAUACGGGCAGACUGGAGUUCGGCAGGGGAGACUGGAAUUCCUGGUGUAGCGGUGAAAUGCGCAGAUAUCAGGAGGAACACCGGUGGCGAAGGCGGGGUCUCUGGGCUGACACUGACGCUCGAUGCACGAAAGCGUGGGGAGCAAACAGG
rnacentral:rRNA from 1 species